GGGGAAUAUUGCACAAUGGGCGAAAGCCUGAUGCAGCGACGCCGCGUGAGCGAAGAAGUAUUUCGGUAUGUAAAGCUCUAUCAGCAGGGAAGAUAAUGACGGUACCUGACUAAGAAGCACCGGCUAACUACGUGCCAGCAGCCGCGGUAAUACGUAGGGAGCAAGCGUUGUCCGGAUUUACUGGGUGUAAAGGGUGCGUAGGCGGCUUUGCAAGUCAGAUGUGAAAUCUAUGGGCUCAACCCAUAAACUGCAUUUGAAACUGUAGAGCUUGAGUGAAGUAGAGGCAGGCGGAAUUCCCCGUGUAGCGGUGAAAUGCGUAGAGAUGGGGAGGAACACCAGUGGCGAAGGCGGCCUGCUGGGCUUUAACUGACGCUGAGGCACGAAAGCGUGGGUAGCAAACAGGAUUAGAUACCCUGGUAGUCCACGCUGUAAACGAUGAUUACUAGGUGUGGGGGGUCUGACCCCUUCCGUGCCGGAGUUAACACAAUAAGUAAUCCACCUGGGGAGUACGGCCGCAAGGUUGAAACUCAAAGGAAUUGACGGGGGCCCGCACAAGCAGUGGAGUAUGUGGUUUAAUUCGAAGCAACGCGAAGAACCUUACCAGGUCUUGACAUCCAACUAACGAAGUAGAGAUACAUUAGGUGCCCUUCGGGGAAAGUUGAGACAGGUGGUGCAUGGUUGUCGUCAGCUCGUGUCGUGAGAUGUUGGGUUAAGUCCCGCAACGAGCGCAACCCUUGCUAUUAGUUGCUACGCAAGAGCACUCUAAUAGGACUGCCGUUGACAAAACGGAGGAAGGUGGGGACGACGUCAAAUCAUCAUGCCCCUUAUGACCUGGGCUACACACGUACUACAAUGGAUGUUAACAGAGGGAAGCAAGACAGCGAUGUGGAGCAAACCCCUAAAAACAUUCUCAGUUCAGAUUGCAGGCUGCAACCCGCCUGCAUGAAGAUGGAAUUGCUAGUAAUCGCGGAUCAGCAUGCCGCGGUGAAUACGUUCCCG
rnacentral:rRNA from 1 species